CCUACGGGAGGCAGCAGUGGGGAAUAUUGCACAAUGGGGGAAACCCUGAUGCAGCGACGCCGCGUGAGUGAAGAAGUAUUUCGGUAUGUAAAGCCCUGUCAGCAGGGAAGAAAAUGACGGUAUCUGACCAAGAAGCCCCGGCUAACUACGUGCCAGCAGCCGCGGUAAUACGUAGGGGGCAAGCGUUACCCGGAUUUACUGGGCGUAAAGGGAGCGUAGGCGGGAGGGCAAGUCUGAUGUGAAAGGCGGGGGCUGAACCCCCGGACUGCAUUGGAAACUGCCAGGCUGGCGUGCAGGAGAGGUAAGUGGAAUUCCUGGUGUAGCGGUGAAAUGCGUAGAUAUUAGGAGGAACACCAGUGGCGAAGGCGGCCUGCUGGACGACAACUGACGGUGAGGCGCGAAAGCGUGGGGAGCAAACAGGAUUAGAUACCCUAGUAGUC
rnacentral:rRNA from 1 species